CUGGGACUGCUACAUGGGAGCCGUGGAGAGAAGCUCACUGCCGAGACUGUGUCUGGGGCUGCUGGCUGCCAUCUAGCCAGUUGCGUAGGGCGAGGCUAGACAUGGAGGAAAAGCCAUGCAGAGACACACGGAGCCCAGGGGUGGUGCAGAGGAGAUCCCCUAGAUCCAAAGAUGCCUAAAGGUGGACCUGCCUUUAAUUUUCACUUAAAGAGGACAUCCUUUUAUUGUGGGUACUCAAAGUACCCACUAACGCAAAGAGGUACAUCAGGGUUUCAAGCUGGGAAUGAUAUGGUCAGAAGCUACAGCAAUGCUGCUGGUGUCCUGCCCAUGUGCCCUCCCUUUUACAACUCCAGGAGUGGUGUUACUUACCUGGGAGUGACAGGUAAGGAACACCUCCUAAGAGCAGCCUUCAACCAAUGACUAGGGAAGUUGGUACAUAAAUACCCCAGCUCCCUCCUGCUCAGCCAUGCUCCACACUGGCUCUCCAAGAUCCCCAGCAGGACUGUGUUCUUGUCCCUCCUGAAGGAGCUGACUUGAUAAGGCAUCCUCUGCUGACUGCCUUCCCUUUCCUGUCCCCAUUCCAUACUCUCCCACCUUCACCUCCCAGAUAAACUACUCGCAUUUGAAUCCUUGUUUCAGGGCCUGCUUGUGGGGAACCUUGCAUUAAGAUGCCCAUGAAGACCUCACACUGACACACAUCUUCUCAAGGUCUGCAGGGGCUUUGGCCUGGACAGGAGCUGUUGGGCAGCCAGGUAGACACCUGGACCCUUGGCGGCCCGGAGCAUCUAUCGUAAGAGUACAGCAGGGGCCCUGGAGGCCAGCAGUCAAGACUUACCCCUGAUGCUCGAGGUGGUCCUACACACUCAGCUCUGUCACACAGUGUCCCCACCCUCUCCUAGCAGCUGGAGCUGUCCCACCCACUCCCAAGAUAAGGGCCAGCAGGGCAUGGAGCCUGAGUCAGGAGACCGGAGCCCUGCCCAGCUCUGUCAUCGGCUCUCCGUGUAACCCCUGACAAAUAUUCAACCUCUCUGGGCCUCAGUCCCUUCAUCUCUAAAAAGAAGCAGCUAGACCCGAUAAUAUUAAGGUCCCUAACAGCUAAUGAUUCUAAAUCUGAAAAAAUUCAAGUGGAGAGAGAGGUUGGGAACAAAUGCCAAGAAGUUUGAACCAGUUCCUUGGGGCAAGAAGGAGGCAAAGGCCAGGCUGGAAAGAUGAGGCGCGCUGCAAAGGCAGAGCCCUGCCUUGUUCUCCCCCAGCACAGGCACAGGGCCUGGCAGGCACUGGGUAAAUAUUUGCUGGAUGUACAAAUUGACAAGCAAGGGAGAUCAGUAGCACCCGGGGGUGGGGAGGUUUCAUGCUGGUCUGAACCUCCCAGCGGCUGUCUGCUUCUUGAUCCCUGCUGCCUCAGCAUGGCAGGAAGUCCAGCUGGAAGCAUCCGCCAGCCUCGGGAAUGGCCUCUGCCUCUAACUGCCUCCUCACAGACACGGCCAGGAAAAAGUCCAGCAGGAAUGGUGCAGCAUCAUGGGAGCCCUCCUGUGUGCCUGUCGCUACAAGGUGGCAUGUGCUGAUUUCAAGAAACGGACUUAGUGGAUGUUGCUCCAGACGGACUUACCCUGCCUGCCCCUCAGGUAACUCACCUUGGUCCCCUGUCCACAGCCAUUGGUCCCAUGGUCAUAAAAUCACUGCCACUGCUGCCACCACUGCCACCAAAGGAGGAGCUGACCCCCACAGAGAGACCCCACGCCCUGCUAGGCUGCACCAGUGGCUGUGAGAGGGGUGGGGGACGCUCCCCUGAGGAUGGGGGAGUCAAGCCCCGUGAGACCCACUUUAACCAAUGAGAGGCAGGAGCUGGAAGGAGCCCACAGAUCGUUCGCCCGCCUCUCCUCUCCCCAGACUGGCUGCUCUGAACGUGGUGGCUCCACAAGACUUUUCCAAGGUGUUCCGUGUGUGCUGCUGCAAAGCUGUGGCCGCUCCAAAAUACCAUCGCCCAUUGUGUUUGCUCUCUGUGUCCCAGCCCUACUUCCCUUUCCCUCCCUCUUACUUCCCUGGACCGCACUCCCUGAUGGAGUAUUCCCACCAGCACUGCCUUCCUAAGAAACCAGCGGCGAAGGUCUACGUUCCACUCUUGAUUAUUUACUUUGUAGCCAGGCAGCUGGCAUGUCCCUCCUGGGUUCAUCUCAUUUGCUUCCAAGAGGUGUUGGGGCUAUCUUCUCCCAUUUUACUUACGGAAAUGUGAAAACAUUUGAAUACAGCUCCAAACUCAC
rnacentral:lncRNA from 1 species